rnacentral:misc_RNA from 1 species
UCCGGUUUGUCACCGGCAGUCUCGCACGAGUCCCCAACUAAAUGCUGGCAACAUGCGACGGGGGUUGCGCUCGUUGCGGGACUUAACCCAACAUCUCACGACACGAGCUGACGACAGCCAUGCACCACCUGUAUACCGACCACAAGGGGGGCCGUAUCUCUACGGCUUUCCGGUAUAUGUCAAACCCAGGUAAGGUUCUUCGCGUUGCAUCGAAUUAAUCCACAUGCUCCACCGCUUGUGCGGGCCCCCGUCAAUUCAUUUGAGUUUUAACCUUGCGGCCGUACUCCCCAGGCGGAGAACUUAACGCGUUUGCUGCGAUACUAAAGGGUCUAAGCCCCCUAACAUCUAGUUCUCAUCGUUUACGGCGUGGACUAC